rnacentral:snRNA from 1 species
GUGCUCACUUUGGCAACAUAUACUAAAAUUGGAAUGACACAGAGAAGAUUAGCAUGGCCCCUGCCCAAGGAUGACAUGCAAAUUCGUGAAGCCUUCCAUAUUUUU